CCUACGGGAGGCAGCAGUGAGGAAUAUUGGUCAAUGGGCGCGAGCCUGAACCAGCCAAGUAGCGUGAAGGAUGACUGCCCUACGGGUUGUAAACUUCUUUUAUAAAGGAAUAAAGUGCGGCACGUGUGCCUUUUUGUAUGUACUUUAUGAAUAAGGAUCGGCUAACUCCGUGCCAGCAGCCGCGGUAAUACGGAGGAUCCGAGCGUUAUCCGGAUUUAUUGGGUUUAAAGGGGGCGUAGAUGGGUUGUUAAGUCAGUUGUGAAAGUUCGCGGCUCAACCGUAAGAUUGCAAUUGAUACUGUCAGCCUUGAGUACAGUUGAGGUAGGCGGAAUUCGUGGUGUAGCGGUGAAAUGCUUAGAUAUCACGAAGAACUCCGAUUGCGAAGGCAGCUUACUAAACUGCGACUGACAUUGAUGCUCGAAAGUGUGGGUAUCGAACAGGAUUAGAUACCCCAGUAGUC
rnacentral:rRNA from 1 species